UAAGUGUUUAAUUUUUUUUAGGUAGCUCAGGUGCCGCUCGAAGUGAUGGAGUGCAUUUCCGACUCUGUGGUAAACAUUGACAUGGAUAAUCAUUCACCUACGAAGAAAGGUAACCGUUUCGAUCAACCAUUUAGAACGUAUCUACCCAGUUCACGCAAAAGGAUAGUACAAUCAUCUGAACAAGUUUUAGAAUAUGUUCCCUCUUGCUCCGAUAAUUUUGGAAGUGAUGUAGCUUCAUAUGUAGAACUGGAAACUGCAGAGGAAAAAGAAUUAAGUUUUGAGGGUGUAUCUAAUGCAGUCGAUGGUAGCGAUAGGUAUGACAAAUUCAGUUAAAUAUAAUGGGAUUGGCAUUUUUUGUGACUUAA